GGAUGUGAGGGUGAUCUGGCGGUGACAUCUGUCACCCCAUUGAUCUCCAGGGUUGAUUCAGCUGAUGUAAGUGACUAGGCAGGUGUCCCCUCUCUCUCUCAUCACUCCACCUGCAUCCCUCCUGAAGCUGUGCACUCCGUCAAAGAGAAUAACCUUCCCCGAAGAAGAGGACCAUUCUUCUGACCAACAAGCUCCCUAAAACUCGUCACCAGCAGAAGAAUCCUAAUGUCCUGUGACGAUUACAUCU
rnacentral:sRNA from 1 species